UACGUAGGUGGCAAGCGUUGUCCGGAUUUACUGGGCGUAAAGAGCGCGCAGGCGGCCAAGUCAGUCGAAUGUGAAAGCCCCCGGCUCAACUGGGGAGGGUCAUUCGAUACUGCUCGGCUCGAAGACAGGAGAGGGAAGUGGAAUUCCCGGUGUAGUGGUGAAAUGCGUAGAUAUCUGGAGGAAUACCGGUGGCGAAGGCGGCAUCCUGGACCGGCAUUGACGCUGAGUGAGCGAAAGCCAGGGGAGCAAACGGG
rnacentral:rRNA from 1 species